GACGAACGCUGGCGGCGUGCUUAACACAUGCAAGUCGAACGGAAAGGCCCUUCGGGGUACUCGAGUGGCGAACGGGUGAGUAACACGUGGGUGAUCUUCCCUGCACUUUGGGAUAAGCCUGGGAAACUGGGUCUAAUACCGAAUAGGACCACGCGCUUCAUGGUGUGUGGUGGAAAGCUUUUGCGGUGUGGGAUGGGCCCGCGGCCUAUCAGCUUGUUGGUGGGGUAAUGGCCUACCAAGGCGACGACGGGUAGCCGGCCUGAGAGGGUGACCGGCCACACUGGGACUGAGAUACGGCCCAGACUCCUACGGGAGGCAGCAGUGGGGAAUAUUGCACAAUGGGCGCAAGCCUGAUGCAGCGACGCCGCGUGAGGGAUGACGGCCUUCGGGUUGUAAACCUCUUUCAAUAGGGACGAAGCGCAAGUGACGGUACCUAUAGAAGAAGCACCGGCCAACUACGUG
rnacentral:rRNA from 1 species